UACCUUUGAUGCGUUCGCGGUGCACGCGAUGAGAACGUCUCAAUCCGCGUGCUGAAAAGGGAAUCCGGUGCAAUACCGGAGCUGUACCCGCAGCUGUAAGUUCCGCAUACACCGCACGCCGCAACAACCCACUGGGCAACCGGGAAGGGGGCGUGUCGGGGAACGAGCCAGAAGACCUGCCUCGAACGAUAAUCCGAG
rnacentral:ncRNA from 2 species